rnacentral:rRNA from 1 species
AGUGAACGCUGGCGGCGUGCCUAAUACAUGCAAGUCGAACGGAGUGGCGCACGGGUGAGUAAUAUAAAGCUAAUCUGCCCCUUGCUGGAGGACAACAGUUAGAAAUGACUGCUAAUACUCCAUAGCAAGGGAGGAGACUAUAUCGUAUCAGCUAGUCUGGGGGGUAACGGCCUACCGAGGCUAUGACUCGUAACUGGUCUGAGAGGAUGAUCAGUAACAUUGGAACUUGGGCACGGUCCAAACUCCUACGGGAGGCAGCAGUAGGCAAUAUUGCGCAAUGGGGGAAUCCCUGACGCAUCAACGCCGCGUGGAGGAUGACACUUUGCGGAGCGUAAACUCCUUUUGUUACGGAAGCGUUACCUAACGAAUAAGCACCGGCUAACUCCGUGCCAGCAGCCGCGGUAAUUC